rnacentral:rRNA from 1 species
CAGUCGCCGCGGGAAUACGUAGGGGGCAAGCGUUGUCCGGAAUUAUUGGGCGUAAAGCGCGCGCAGGCGGUCAUGUAAGUCUGGUGUUUAAUCCCGGGGCUCAACCCCGGAUCGCACUGGAAACUGGGUGACUUGAGUGCAGAAGAGGAGAGUGGAAUUCCACGUGUAGCGGUGAAAUGCGUAGAGAUGUGGAGGAACACCAGUGGCGAAGGCGACUCUCUGGGCUGUAACUGACGCUGAGGCGCGAAAGCGUGGGGAGCAAACAGGAUUAGAGACCCCAGUAGUCCCUGUCUCUUAUACA